CCUCACUUCAAUACAUUCGAAUGGCUUGGAAUUCUAACUAUGAAUUCUCAGUUCUGUGCCUGUCUUUCCUUCCUGGAGACACUACGCAUUCCAACUCUGCAGGGUCUCCAGCACGUGUGGAAUGGCCACCGUUGAAGCAGAACUUACUCUUACUGUCCAGCUUACCCGGUUUCUGAGAAUGAGAGGGCUGAACAAGCCUCCCUCACCCACCCUGCCCACCUCUGGGGUGAGCAGGGAUGAGCAGCUCAAGACAACUGCUCUUCUCUCAUCCCAGCCCAGACAGCCCAGACAGUCCAGGCAUGUCCUACCCACUAGCACAGGAGGGAAACUUCUGAGGCCUUUGCCACCCCGGGCUCUGGGCAGAGCAGCCUGGGCAUCACCUGGCCGAUCCUUGGAAGGUAGCUUCGCCAGUCCCACCCAGGCCGACUGGCCAGUGCUGCGUGUCUCUGGCCCGAAAGUUGGAGAAGCGCUGAAUCUGCAGGAUUCCGUGAUCACUUAGAUCAGAGGUGACAGCCCACGAGGCUGCUGGGACUAACCAACGCCACCAUGAAGAGCUUCACCGUGCAGAGAGAGUUCUCACAGCAGCCCUGGGACAUGGGCCUUAUCAGCCCCAUUUUACAGAGGAAGGAAUGAGGCUCAAAGAGGACAGUCAGGAACUUAGAAGCCAUUUUUGUUAUGGUCUGCAGAUGCCAAAUAGGAUCUCAUCCCCUUCCUGACUGAGGACACCAAAAGAAGAGGUUUAAAGGGUCUUCAGCGGCACCCAAAGGCCUGCAGCUGUUGUCCUGAACCUGUGAUCACCAGGGUUCUAGGGAAGGUAAAGCCCACCUGACUGAAAUGGCCACAGGCAGGAACAGUCCUUCCCUGGGAGAUUCGAGAACUAUGACCCCAGGACUGAGGAAAGGGUCAGCCAGGCCCCAGCCCACCAGGUAACCUUUGAGAGCUGCCUUCCUGCCUCUGUGGGUGGGUCAGUCCGAACCCCUGCAUCAGAGUGUAUCCCUGUAUCCUUCCCUAUCUUCCCUCUCACUUGCCAAUUCAAUAUCUGUUUUCUGUAAAUUUGUGUUUCAUUUUAAUUUCCAAUUCUAUUCAAGCAAUGACCCACAAUAG
ensembl:lncRNA